AAUGAACGUUGGCGGCGUGGAUUAGGCAUGCAAGUCGAGCGGCAGCAGGCCCGCAAGGGCGCUGGCGAGCGGCGAAAGGGAGAGUAACACGCGGGUGCCUGCCCUCGGGACCGGGAUAGCUGCGGGAAACUGCAAUUAAUACCGGAUAAUGUCCCCGGACCAAAUGGUGUGAUUCCGCCUGAGGAGGGGCCCACGUCCUAUCAGCUAGUUGGUGAGGUAACGGCUCAUCAAGGCUACGACGGGUACGGGGUGUGAGAGCAUGCCCCCGCUUACUGGGACUGAGACACUGCCCAGACACCUACGGGUGGCUGCAGUCGAGAAUCUUCCGCAAUGGGCGAAAGCCUGACGGAGCGACGCCGCGUGCGGGAUGAAGGCCUUCGGGUUGUAAACCGCUGUCAGAGGGGAACAAGUUCAUGGGGGUUCUCCCCUGUGUUUGAGUGAUCCUCAGAGGAAGCGCAGGCUAAGUCCGUGCCAGCAGCCGCGGUAA
rnacentral:rRNA from 1 species